AGAGUUUGUAACACCCAAAGCCGGUGGGGAACCUUUUGGAGCUAGCCGUCUAGGUGGGCAGAUGAUAAAGGUGAAGUCGUAACAAGGUAGCCGUAGGAGAACCUGCGGCUGGAUCACCUCCUUUCUAAGGAAUAAUACGGAACCGCACACGAGUCAAAGUUUUGUUUAGUUUUGAGAGGUCUACUCUCACUUUUGUUCUUUGAAAACUGAAUAAUAUCUAUAAUUUUCUAAUUUUAAUUAAUCAUAAUUAAACCGAGAGAAAACCGCGUAAUUUUAAGAGUUGAUCAAGAUUAGUUCAAUUUAAUCGCUAGAAUUAAAACUUCAUAAGACCACUUUUGCCGUCGGCAAAAGUUAUAGGUUAAGUUAGGAAGGGCGCAUGGUGAAUGCCUUGGUACUAGGAGCCGAUGAAGGACGGGACUAACACCGAUAUGCCUCGGGGAGCUGUACGUAAGCUUUGAUCCGGGGAUUUCCGAAUGGGGCAACCCAGCAAGCUUUACCGCUUGUUAUCCACAUCUGAAUACAUAGGAUGUGUGAAGGUAA
rnacentral:misc_RNA from 1 species